rnacentral:rRNA from 1 species
CCCUUAGAUGUUCUGGGCUGCACACGUGCUACACUGGCAGGUUCAGCGAGCUUCAUGCCCUGAUCUGAAAGGAAUGGGAAAUCUUUUCAAAACCUGCCGUGUUGGGAUAGAUGUUUGCAAUUAUUCAUCUUCAACGAGGAUUGCCUUGUAAGCGCACGUCAUCAGCGUGCAUUGAAUACGACCCUGUAUUCUGUACACACCGCCCGUCGCUCCUACCGAUUGAAGUUUUCGGUGAGUUGACAGGAGGAUUUUUUUGAAACUGGUUCGCCAGUGGAUUUUAGAUCCAAAUGCCAGCGAAUCGAUGGCUUUAGAGGAAGGAGAAGUCGUAACA